AUGUGGAAAAAUACAGCCAGGAACUAUCAGGUGAUCUCAUUCUUUACAUCAUUGUAUUUUAACACCUACAGCAUUCUGGAAGGACAGAGCGGUAGUCAUGUUGACAGAAGUCAGUCUCAUCCAAAUAAGGGAUGGAACAAAGACAGUGAACUCUUAUAACCUUCCUCACUCACGCCUCCAAAUGGUGCCUCCAUACUGUUAUCAGGGGAUGGGAAGAGGCAGGUGGUACUAGGACUUUGAGUUAAAAAUAGCAAUACUGGCAGUGACUUCAAAAGCAGCUGGUAUAGUUGCGCCUGCUCUUAAUGAACUGUCAAUAAUUUGUCAUAGCAAAUUAUGACCAAUGUUGUAUAUUAGUAAUUUGACUGUUUACGUGCUAUGACGUAUUCUAAAGAAACAAUUGUUAGAAACCAGGUCCAACGCUGACACUAUAAAACAGUAUGUUGCCUUUCCAUGCUGUUAUUUAAACUCUGCUAACCAUUUUUUUGGCGUGACAGAGUGACCAAAAAAAAGGAACAAGUGUUAAUCGUGGUCUUUAUCAAAAUAGAUCAGUUAAUUUACAUUGACUUCAAAAUGUUCAUUUUCUUACCUCACAUAAAGAGCUUUUCUGUUAUCGCUGUGCAUGUGCAGUCCCAAGGCAACUGAAGUAAUCAUUUUCAUUCAACAGGACUUGCAUAAUGAGUAGCUUUUUCCUCACGUUUGGUAUAACAGAGCUGUGAUAUUUUAUGAUUUUAAAUUAAAUAAAGACUGGAAAAUGACCUUGUUGUAUAACCUCUUGUAUCCCCUGUAUCUAGCAUUAUUGUCUGAAAUGCACAUCAAUAACCUGCACAUAUGUUAACAUUACAUACAGCCAGGUCCAUAAUUACCAGCACCCUUGAUAAAGAGGAGCAAAACAAAUAUUCAAAAAAAUGUUUUUUUAAUUACUAAUAAUACUAACACAAUAGCAUAAAUAAAUAGAUUUUGUUUAACAAGUAAUACAAAAAAAAUAAAAAAAGAUGGGGCCAAAAAACUUUGGGUACUUUUUGUACUCCUGUUUUCAGUACUCCAGCACCCUUGUACUUGCAAGGAUAACA
rnacentral:lncRNA from 8 species